rnacentral:lncRNA from 1 species
CACGCCUGUAAUCCCAGUGACUCUAGAGGCUGAGGCAGGAGGAUCGUGAGUUCAAAGCCAGCCUCAGCAAUCUAGUGAGGCCCUAAGCAAUUCAGUGAGACCCUGUCUCUAACAAAAUACAAAAUAGGGCUGAGAUUUGACUCAGGAGUCUAGUGCCCCUGAGUUCAAUCCCCGGUACCAAAGAAAGAAAAAUCUGUUUAAGACACACAACUCAGCCAGGCACCAUGACACCCAUCUGUAACCCAGCAACUCAAGAAGCUGAGGCAGGAGGAUCACACGUUCAAAGCCAGCUUCAGCAACUUAGCGAGGCCUUGUCUCAAAAUAAAAAGGGCUGGGGGUGUGGCUCAGCGGUUAAGUGCACCUGGGUUCAAUCCCUCAUACCAAAAAAAGAAAAAACAACCACACACAAAAGUGUCAUUCAUACAAUGCUUAUAAUCCUGAGGAGGUGAGACCCCUGACAGUCACCCGGGCCCAGGUGAAGACCCUGACCAGCCACCUACCUGCUUUCGAGGUCUCAGGGACAGAGGGACCCAGUACGGCAGUGCUGCCUCAGCCCUGGGCACAGGCCAGUGGCCCUGGAACUUGACCUGGCACUCACAGCAGACGGGCUCCCGGAGGAGAGUGCAGUGGCCCAGGCACACCUGAGCAAGAGGCAGGCAAGGAGGGAUGAGGGACGCGGCAACGUGAGCUGAGGCCCUGCCUGGACUAGUGGUCAGGGCCAGCAGAGUUGGGGGGGGGGGACAGGGCAGGCGCCCCUACUACAACUCCUCUGACAGAGGCAGGCUGCACGCUCGGGGAGCCCCCCAACGACAGCAGAGUCCACCCCAGAGGACGAGGGCAGCUGGCUGCUCCUGGGGUUCCUCUGUGUCGCUCCACACAGAGCUCUUCCUACUCUAGGGGGAAGGAAAGGGUAGGUAAGAAGUCAGGGCCUGGAGCAGGCCCCCGGGGGUCUCUGGUGCUCCUGGGCUUCUGGACACAGCGAGGAGCGUGAGGGCCUGGGGAGGGAUGGUGGGAGGGUCACGGAUGCCCCAUAACCACACACGGCCCUGUCACGAUGCAGCCCUGGACUCCCGCCCUCACUCUCCCACUCCACAGGGUCGGGCAAAGCAGCACAGGGCUUGUUCCCUCACCGAACCACCUGGGGAGUGCACUUCUCUCCUGAAGGUUUGAAAUGUGCUCUUCCUAGAAAAGAAGAGCAGAGGGGCUCUGUGUAAACGGGGGCCAGGUGCUAG